AGGAGGAACAGCCCCAGUGGCGGGGCCAGCUCUGGAGCCCUGGAUGCAGCCCCCGCAGAAGCUCCGGAGCUCUCGGUCUGCAGGGCCUGGAGGCUCCGGGCAGGG
rnacentral:pre_miRNA from 1 species